UGAGCAUAGGACCUGGUGUGCAAGGC
rnacentral:piRNA from 1 species